GGGUCAGUAGGUUGGUCGUGCCACCGGUACGUACUGGUCUCACUGAUUCCUCCUUCCUGAAGAACCGUAAUGCCAUUAAUUUGGUGUUGCGGGGAAACAGGACUGUUACUUUGAAAAAAUUGGAGUGUUUAAAGCAAGCUAACGCUUGAAUACAUUAGCAUGGAGUAAUGAAAUAGGACGAUCGAUCCUAUUUUGUUGGUUUCUAGGAUUGACGUA
rnacentral:rRNA from 1 species